GUUGCAGGGUAUAGACCCGAAACCCGGUGAUCUAGCCAUGGGCAGGUUGAAGGUUGGGUAACACUAACUGGAGGACCGAACCGACUAAUGUUGAAAAAUUAGCGGAUGACCUGUGGCUGGGGGUGAAAGGCCAAUCAAACCGGGAGAUAGCUGGUUCUCCCCGAAAGCUAUUUAGGUAGCGCCUCGUGAAUUCAUCUCCGGGGGUAGAGCACUGUUUCGGCUAGGGGGCCAUCCCGGCUUACCAACCCGAUGCAAACUGCGAAUACCGGAGAAUGUUAUCACGGGAGACACACGGCGGGUGCUAACGUCCGUCGUGAAGAGGGAAACAACCCAGACCGCCAGCUAAGGUCCCAAAGUCAUGGUUAAGUGGGAAACGAUGUGGGAAGGCCCAGACAGCCAGGAUGUUGGCUUAGAAGCAGCCAUCAUUUAAAGAAAGCGUAAUAGCUCACUGGUCGAGUCGGCCUGCGCGGAAGAUGUAACGGGGCUAAACCAUGCACCGAAGCUGCGGCAGCGAACGUAUCACUUAAAGCGAUUCAGCGGGUUACGAUUGACGGAGCGAAGCGACGUCAAAGCGUAUACAAAGUCGAGUCGGUUUAAGGAUACGUUCGUUGGGUAGGGGAGCGUUCUGUAAGCCUGUGAAGGUGUGUCGUGAGGCAUGCUGGAGGUAUCAGAAGUGCGAAUGCUGACAUAAGUAACGAUAAAGCGGGUGAAAAGCCCGCUCGCCGGAAGACCAAGGGUUCCUGUCCAACGUUAAUCGGGGCAGGGUGAGUCGACCCCUAAGGCGAGGCCGAAAGGCGUAGUCGAUGGGAAACGGGUUAAUAUUCCCGUACUUGGUGUUACUGCGAAGGGGGGACGGAGAAGGCUAUGUUGGCCGGGCGACGGUUGUCCCGGUUUAAGCGUGUAGGUGUGUGUUCCAGGUAAAUCCGGUUCACUUUAACACUGAGGCGUGAUGACGAGGCACUACGGUGCUGAAGCAACAAAUGCCCUGCUUCCAGGAAAAGCCUCUAAGCAUCAGGUAACAUCAAAUCGUACCCCAAACCGACACAGGUGGUCAGGUAGAGAAUACCAAGGCGCUUGAGAGAACUCGGGUGAAGGAACUAGGCAAAAUGGUGCCGUAACU
rnacentral:rRNA from 1 species